AGAUUUUCAGUCAUAAGCCCUUGCUCAUUCUCCAGCUGAGACAUCAUUGGACUUCUAUUUCUUUAUUUCUUUCACUGGACCAUCCUCGUAGACAUCUUGAUGGGAGAAUAUUUCCUCCAGUUUAAUAGUCUGGAAGCAAGGGUGACAGUCACAGAAAGGCUUUUUGCCUUUGAGAUGAAGAGAAAGUUCUUCACUCAGAGGAAUGCCUGCUGCAGUGCCUCCAGUGAUGAAGCUACUCGAAGGAUACCUCUUCCAACUCUCAGUUCCCUGAGUCUUCCCUUCACUCCUGUACUGCUGUGCUGUUUAUGACUUCAGAACCUGACACUGAUGAUGUAGGAGGCAGAGCUUUAACCCUUCCUUCGCCCUCCAGGCUGGUGGGGUCGGAAACUAAUAAA